rnacentral:rRNA from 1 species
UUUAAAGUCUAAUCUGCCCCCUGAAAUUAUUUUAAAGGGCUGCGGUAUUUUAACCGUACAAAGGUAGCAUAAUAAUUAGGUUUUUGAUUGAAAUCUAGAAUGAAUGAUUGGACGAGAUACAGGCUAUUUUAUAAUAAUUAAUUAAAAUUUAAUUUUUUAGUCAAAAAGCUAAAAUUUUAUUAAAAGACGAGAAGACCCUAUAAAUCUUUAUAAUAAAUUUAUUUUAAUAAAUUAUUUUAUUUAAAUUAAUAAUUUUAAUAUUAAAUUAUUUUAUUGGGGUGAUACAAAAAUUUAAUUAACUUUUUUAUUAAAAUUACUUAAAUUAAAGAUUUAUAAAAAUAUGAUCUAUUAUUAAUAAUUCAGAGAAUAAGAUACUUUAGGGAUAACAGCGUAAUUUUAAUUUUAAGUUCUUAUUAAAAUUAAAGAUUGCGACCUCGAUGUUGGAUUAAAAUUUAAUUUAAAUGCAAAGGUUUAAAAAUUAAGUCUGUUCGACUUUU